GGCCUGGUGGUCUAGUAGUAUGAUUCCUUGUUAGGGUGAACCACCAAACUGUAUUUGGUUUCGAGGAGGUCCCGGGUUCAAUUCCCGGCCAGGCCC